rnacentral:rRNA from 1 species
UACGUAGGGUGCGAGCGUUGUCCGGAAUUAUUGGGCGUAAAGAGCUUGUAGGUGGCUCGUCGCGUCGGGAGUGAAAACCCGCGGCUUAACCGCGGGCCUGCUUUCGAUACGGGCGGGCUAGAGUUCGGCAGGGGAGACUGGAAUUCCUGGUGUAGCGGUGAAAUGCGCAGAUAUCAGGAGGAACACCGGUGGCGAAGGCGGGUCUCUGGCCCGAUACUGACGCUGAUGCACGAAAGCGUGGGGAGCAAACAGG